rnacentral:rRNA from 1 species
GUAAUAUAUAGAUAACGUGCCUCUUAGUCUGGGAUAGCCAUUGGAAACGAUGAUUAAUACCGGAUACUCCUUCUAACUCUAAUGUUAGUCGGGAAAGUUUUUCGCUAAGAGAUCGGUCUAUAUCCCAUCAGUUAGUUGGUAAGGUAACGGCUUACCAAGGCAAUGACGGGUAGCGGGUUUGAGAGGAUGAUCCGCCACACUGGUACUGAGACACGGACCAGACUCCUACGGGAGGCAGCAGUGAGGAAUAUUGCACAAUGGGGGAAACCCUGAUGCAGCAACGCCGCGUGGAGGAUGACGCAUUUCGGUGUGUAAACUCCUUUUAUGAGUCAAGAAAAUGACGGUAGCUCAUGAAUAAGCACCGGCUAACUCCGUGCCAGCAGCCGCGGUAAUACGGAGGGUGCAAGCGUUACUCGGAAUCACUGGGCGUAAAGGACGCGUAGGCGGGAUGCCAAGUCUGAUGUGAAAUCCUAUGGCUUAACCAUAGAACUGCAUUGGAAACUGGUAACCUAGAGUAUGGGAGGGGGAGAUGGAAUUAGUGGUGUAGGGGUAAAAUCCGUAGAUAUCACUAGGAAUACCGAAAGCGAAGGCGAUCUCCUGGAACAUAACUGACGCUAAGGCGUGAAAGCGUGGGGAGCAAACGGGAUUAGAUACCCCGGUAGUCCACGCCCUAAACGAUGAACACUAGUCGUCGCUCUGCUUGUCAGGGCGGUGAUGCACUUAACAGAUUAAGUGUUCCGCCUGGGGAGUACGGUCGCAAGAUUAAAACUCAAAGGAAUAGACGGGGACCCGCACAAGUGGUGGAGCAUGUGGUUUAAUUCGAAGAUACGCGAAAAACCUUACCUGGCCUUGACAUUGAUAGAAUCCAGCAGAGAUGCAGGAGUGCCCUUCGGGGAGCUUGAAAACAGGUGCUGCACGGCUGUCGUCAGCUCGUGUCGUGAGAUGUUGGGUUAAGUCCCGCAACGAGCGC